rnacentral:rRNA from 1 species
UACGUAGGGUGCAAGCGUUGUCCGGAAUUAUUGGGCGUAAAGAGCUCGUAGGCGGUCUGUCGCGUCGGCUGUGAAAACCCGGAGCUCAACUCCGGGCCUGCAGUCGAUACGGGCAGACUGGAGUUCGGCAGGGGAGACUGGAAUUCCUGGUGUUGCGGUGAAAUGCGCAGAUAUCAGGAGGAACACCGGUGGCGAAGGCGGGUCUCUGGGCCGAUACUGACGCUGAGGAGCGAAAGCGUGGGGAGCGAACAGG